UGGCAUAAUGGUCACACCUGUUCCCAUCCCGAACACAGAAGUUAAGCAUUUUUGCGCCGAUGAUAGUUGGGUUUAUACCCCGCAAAAGUAGGUCGUUGCCA
rnacentral:rRNA from 1 species